rnacentral:rRNA from 1 species
GGAAUACAUCGGAAUCUACCUUUUCGUGGGGGAUAACGUAGGGAAACUUACGCUAAUACCGCAUACGACCUACGGGUGAAAGUGGGGGACCGCAAGCCUCACGCGAUUAGAUGAGCCGAUGUCCGAUUAGCUAGUUGGCGGGGUAAUGGCCCACCAAGGCGACGAUCGGUAGCUGGUCUGAGAGGAUGAUCAGCCACACUGGAACUGAGACACGGUCCAGACUCCUACGGGAGGCAGCAGUGGGGAAUAUUGGACAAUGGGCGCAAGCCUGAUCCAGCCAUACCGCGUGGGUGAAGAAGGCCUUCGGGUUGUAAAGCCCUUUUGUUGGGAAAGAAAUCCUAUCGGUUAAUAACCGGUGGGGAUGACGGUACCCAAAGAAUAAGCACCGGCUAACUUCGUGCCAGCAGCCGCGGUAAUACGAAGGGUGCAAGCGUUACUCGGAAUUACUGGGCGUAAAGCGUGCGUAGGUGGUGGUUUAAGUCUGCUGUGAAAGCCUGGGCUCAACCUGGGAAUUGCAGUGGAUACUGGAUCACUAGAGUGUGGUAGAGGGAUGCGGAAUUUCUGGUGUAGCAGUGAAAUGCGUAGAGAUCAGAAGGAACAUCCGUGGCGAAGGCGGCAUCCUGGGCCAACACUGACACUGAGGCACGAAAGCGUGGGGAGCAAACAGGAUUAGAUACCUGGUAGUCCACGCCCUAAACGAUGCGAACUGG